rnacentral:rRNA from 1 species
CCUACGGGUGGCAGCAGUCGAGAAUCAUUCACAAUGGGGGAAACCCUGAUGGUGCGACGCCGCGUGGGGGAAUGAAGGUCUUCGGAUUGUAAACCCCUGUCAUGUGGGAGCAAAUUAAAAAGAUAGUACCACAAGAGGAAGAGACGGCUAACUCUGUGCCAGCAGCCGCGGUAAUACAGAGGUCUCAAGCGUUGUUCGGAAUCACUGGGCGUAAAGCGUGCGUAGGCUGUUUCGUAAGUCGUGUGUGAAAGGCGCGGGCUCAACCGGCGGACGGCACAUGAUACUGCGAGACUAGAGUAAGGGAGGGGGAACCGGAAUUCUCGGUGUAGCAGUGAAAUGCGUAGAUAUCGAGAGGAACACUCGUGGCGAAGGCGGGUUCCUGGACAUUAACUGACGCUGAGGCACGAAGGCCAGGGGAGCGAAAGGGAUUAGAUACCCCAGUAGUC